GGUAGCGAAAUUCCUUGUCGGGUAAGUUCCGACCUGCACGAAUGGCGUAACGGUGGCCCCACUGUCUCCUGCUGGGACUCAGCGAAAUUGAAGUGGUUGUGAAGAUGCAAUCUACCCGCGGCUAGACGGAAAGACCCCAUGAACCUUUACUGCAGCUUUGCAUUGGACUUUGAUGUGGCCUGUGUAGGAUAGGUGGGAGGCAAAGAAGCCGAGGCGCCAGCUUCGGUGGAGCCGUCCUUGAAAUACCACCCUGGCCCCAUCGAGGUUCUAACCGCGGUGGGUGCAUCCCCACCCGGGACCGUGCAUGGCAGGCAGUUUGACUGGGGCGGUCUCCUCCCAAAAGGUAACGGAGGAGCACGAAGGUACGCUUGGCGCGGUCGGAAAUCGCGCUGUACGUGCAAGGGCAUAAGCGUGCUUGACUGCAAGGCCCACAAGCCAAGCAGGUGCGAAAGCAGGUCCUAGUGAUCCGGUGGUCCCGCAUGGAAGGGCCAUCGCUCAACGGAUAAAAGGUACUCUGGGGAUAACAGGCUGAUACCGCCCAAGAGUUCACAUCGACGGCGGUGUUUGGCACCUCGAUGUCGGCUCAUCUCAUCCUGGGGCUGUAGUCGGUCCCAAGGGUAUGGCUGUUCGCCAUUUAAAGAGGUACGUGAGCUGGGUUUAAAACGUCGUGAGACAGUUUGGUCCCUAUCUGCCGUGGGCGUAGGAAGUUUGAGGGGAGCUGCUCCUAGUACGAGAGGACCGGAGUGGACGCACCUCUGGUGUACCGGUUGUCACGCCAGUGGCACCGCCGGGUAGCUAAGUGCGGAAGAGAUAAGCGCUGAAAGCAUCUAAGCGCGAAACUCACCCCAAGAUGAGACUUCCCGAUCAGGGCCGUGGAAGACCACCACGUUGAUAGGCGGCAUGUGUAAGCGCUGCAAGGCGUUGAGCUGAGCCGUACUAAUUGCCCGACCGGCUUGAUCCU
rnacentral:rRNA from 1 species